rnacentral:rRNA from 1 species
AUUGAACGCUGGCGGCAUGCUUUACACAUGCAAGUCGAACGGUAACAGGGUGCUUGCACCGCUGACGAGUGGCGAACGGGUGAGUAAUGCGUCGGAACGUGCCGAGUAGUGGGGGAUAACGCAGCGAAAGUUGUGCUAAUACCGCAUACGUACUGAGGUAGAAAGUGGGGGACCUUCGGGCCUCACGCUAUUCGAGCGGCCGACGUCUGAUUAGCUAGUAGGUGAGGUAAGAGCUCACCUAGGCGACGAUCAGUAGCGGGUCUGAGAGGAUGAUCCGCCACACUGGGACUGAGACACGGCCCAGACUCCUACGGGAGGCAGCAGUGGGGAAUUUUGGACAAUGGGCGCAAGCCUGAUCCAGCCAUGCCGCGUGUCUGAAGAAGGCCUUCGGGUUGUAAAGGACUUUUGUCAGGGAGGAAAUCCUAGUGGCUAAUAACUACUGGGGAUGACAGUACCUGAAGAAUAAGCACCGGCUAACUACGUGCCAGCAGCCGCAGUAACAC